AAAGGAAUAGACGGGGGCCCGCACAAGCGGUGGAGCAUGUGGCUUAAUUCGAUGCAACGCGAAGAACCUUACCUGGCCUUGACAUGCACUGGACCGGACGUGAAAGCGUCCUUUCCUUCGGGACCGGUGCACAGGUGCUGCAUGGCUGUCGUCAGCUCGUGUCGUGAGAUGUUCGGUUAAGUCCGGCAACGAGCGCAACCCCUGUUCCUAGUUGCCAGCGCGUAAUGGCGGGGACUCUAGGGAGACAAACCUGUUUUGCAGGUGGGAAGGUGGGGAUGACGUCAAGUCAGUAUGGCCCUUACGGCCAGGGCUGCACACGUGCUACAAUGCCCGGCACAGAGGGAAGCGAAACCGCGAGGUGAAGCAAAUCCCAAAAACCGGGCCCAGUUCGGAUCGGAGUCUGCAACUCGACUCCGUGAAGCCGGAAUCGCUAGUAAUGCUGCAUCAGCUACGGCAGCGUGAAUACGUUCCCGGGCCUUGUACACACCGCCCGU
rnacentral:rRNA from 1 species